GUCCCUAUCGUCUAGACGGCCCAGGACAUCGCCCUUUCACGGCGGCAACGCGGGUUCGAAUCCCGCUGGGGACGCCA
rnacentral:tRNA from 2 species